rnacentral:rRNA from 1 species
UACAGAGGUCUCGAGCGUUGUUCGGAUUCAUUGGGCGUAAAGGGUGCGUAGGUGGCGCUGUAAGUCGGGUGUGAAAUCCUGGGGCUUAACCCCGGAACUGCAUUCGAAACUGCAGAGCUGGAGUCCUGGAGAGGAAGGCGGAAUUCUCGGUGUAGAGGUGAAAUUCGUAGAUAUCGAGAGGAACACCGGUGGCGAAGGCGGCCUUCUGGACAGUGACUGACGCUGAGACGCGAAAGCGUGGGGAGCAAACAGG